rnacentral:rRNA from 1 species
AUUGAACGCUGGCGGCAGGCCUAACACAUGCAAGUCGAGCGCGCGGCGGACGUGUGAGUAAUGUAUGGGGAUCUGCCCGAUAGAGGGGGAUAACUACUGGAAGCUGUGUCUAAUACCGCAUACUCUCGGAUUACCCCAUAGGGUAUUAGCUAUUAGGUGGGGUAAAGGCUUACCUAGGCGACGAUCUCUCGCUGGUCUGAGAGGAUGAUCAGCCACACUGGGACUGAGACACGGCCCAGACUCCUACGGGAGGCAGCAGUGGGGAAUAUUGCACAAUGGGCGCAAGCCUGAUGCAGCCAUGCCGCGUGUAUGAAGAAGGCCUUAGGGUUGUAAAGUACUUUCAGCGGGGAGGCGUUACCCGCAGAAGAAGCACCGGCUAACUCCGUGCCAGCAGCCGCGGUAAUAC